GACGACGGAAAGAAUUUCUUUCCAUUGCAUCGCAUCGUCGACGGACCGCUCCGUUAUAAGUUACAUUCACGAGAUCGAUUAAUAUCAUGAAGGUAUCGUGAAAACGAUGGAAACGUUUGUAUUAAACGACGUUCUAAAAUAUUCAAGCCACGUCGCAGUGACGUCCAUCGAUAUAAAGUCGCAGAUAACUCAAUAAUAAAACGUUCCACGUCUCAACUAAGGCUAGGUCGUGUCUAAUCGUGACGCUCGUUUCAUGAUUCGUUACAUCGAGGUCGACGGUAUUUCGUUACAUAUACAGAGGUCGACUCUCGAGGUCGUAUACCGUCCGAUCGCCGGGAAUCUAACGUAUAUAACAUGAUUGGCGAUAGACAGUUUUAUUUUCUACGAAAAUAGUACACGCUCGCGUCUCUAAAACUCGAUGCAGUACGUAUACAGGAAGAAGAACUCGGGUAGUGUGGAAUGUGCGAUACAUCACAGCACGAUCAUUUGGAUUUUUGAGUGAAGAGAGGGAAGGAAGGAGAGGAAGAGGGCAACAUGAGAAGAACAAGGCCCAUUUUUGUCAUUGUGUGCUCGCUGUCUCGCUUGAAAUGGGAGUAUCCCGUCACUUGACCACAGUUAGACAGUUAAUUGUUCAAUCCGUACUAA